CAUCGUGAAAUUAACUUUAUUUUCUUUUUUCUCUCUAUUUAUGCACUAAUUUUAUUUCUUUUAUUUGUUAUAUUUUAAUGGUUUAUUAUUGAAACCAUGGUUCUCACGCGAUGGCCAAAAAAGUGUUUAUGAUGGAAUUUUAUUAUUUUAAAAUACAUCAAUCAUUUUUAUAUUAAUUUAAGUCUUCCCUUUUUUUUUUGUCAUAAUUUCAUUUAUUUUUAAUUUUUUUUAACUUUUAUUCUGUAUUGGGAUUUCUUUUUCUUGUUUUUAUUUUAGGAAUUAAAGUGCGAUGGGUUUUGAUAAAAUUCCGAAAAAGAAA
rnacentral:lncRNA from 1 species